GACGAACGCUGGCGGCGUGCUUAACACAUGCAAGUCGAACGGAAAGGCCCUGCUUUUGUGGGGUGCUCGAGUGGCGAACGGGUGAGUAACACGUGAGUAACCUGCCCUUGUCUUUGGGAUAACUUCAGGAAACUCGGGCUAAUACCGGAUAGGAGCUCCUGCUGCACGGUGGGGGUUGGAAAGAUUCGGCGGUUGGGGCUGGACUCGCGGCUUAUCAGCUUGUUGGUCGGGUAGUGGAUUACCAAGGCUUUGACGGGUAGCCGGCCUGAGAGGGUGACCGGCCACCUUGGGACUGCGAUACGGCCCAGACUCCUACGGGAGGCAGCAGUGGGGAAUAUUGCACAAUGGGCGGAAGCCUGAUGCAGCAACGCCGCGUGCGGGAUGACGGCCUUCGGGUUGUAAACCGCUUUCGCCUGUGCCGAAGCGUGAGUGACGGUAAUGGGUAAAGAAGCACCGGCUAACUACGUG
rnacentral:rRNA from 1 species